rnacentral:rRNA from 1 species
GACGAACGCUGGCGGCGUGCUUAACACAUGCAAGUCGAACGGAAAGGCCCUUUUGGGGGUGCUCGAGUGGCGAACGGGUGAGUAACACGUGGGUGAUCUGCCCUGAACUUUGGGAUAAGCCUGGGAAACUGGGUCUAAUACCGGAUAUGACUCCUGCCUGCAUGGGUGGGGGUGGAAAGCCUUGUGCGGUUUGGGAUGGGCCCGCGGCCUAUCAGCUUGUUGGUGGGGUAAUGGCCUACCAAGGCGACGACGGGUAGCCGACCUGAGAGGGUGAUCGGCCACACUGGGACUGAGACACGGCCCAGACUCCUACGGGAGGCAGCAGUGGGGAAUAUUGCACAAUGGGCGCAAGCCUGAUGCAGCGACGCCGCGUGAGGGAUGACGGCCUUCGGGUUGUAAACCUCUUUCGCUAGGGACGAAGCUUUUGGGUGACGGUACCUGGAGAAGAAGCACCGGCCAACUACGUG